rnacentral:rRNA from 1 species
GAUGAACGCUAGCGGCAGGCCUAACACAUGCAAGUCGAGGGGCAUCACGGAUUGCUUGCAAUCUGGUGGCGACCGGCGCACGGGUGCGUAACGCGUAUACAACCUACCUUUUGGAGGGGAAUAGCCCAGAGAAAUUUGGAUUAAUACCCCAUAGUAUGUAGGAAUCUCCUUGAUUUUUAUAUUUAAACAUUUAUGGCCAUUAGAUGGGUAUGCGUCCUAUUAGCUAGUUGGUGUGGUAACGGCACACCAAGGCUACGAUAGGUAGGGGUCCUGAGAGGGAGAUCCCCACACUGGUACUGAGACACGGACCAGACUCCUACGGGAGGCAGCAGUGAGGAAUAUUGGACAAUGGGCGAGAGCCUGAUCCAGCCAUGCCGCGUGCAGGAAGACUGCCCUAUGGGUUGUAAACUGCUUUUACAGAGGAAGAACCACCCCCACGUGUGGGGGUUUGACGGUACUCUGCGAAUAAGGAUCGGCUAACUCCGUG